rnacentral:rRNA from 1 species
AUACGGAGGAUGCGAGCGUUAUCCGGAUUUAUUGGGUUUAAAGGGUGCGUAGGCUGUGCGUUAAGUCAGGGGUGAAAUGCCGUCGCUCAACGACGGAGCUGCCCUUGAUACUGGCGUGCUGGAGUACGGAUGCCGUUGGAGGAAUGAGUGGUGUAGCGGGGAAAUGCUUAGAUAUCACUCAGAACACCGAUUGCGAAGGCAUCUGACGAAUCCGUCACUGACGCUGAGGCACGAAAGCGUGGGGAUAGAACAGGAUUAGAUACCCUGGUAUUCCACGCCGUAAACGAUGAUGACUAACCGUCGGCGAUAGACAGCCGGUGGCCAAGCGAAAGCGAUAAGUCAUCCACCUGGGGAGUACGUCGGCAACGAUGAAACUCAAAGGAAUUGACGGGG